AAGCAGAGGAGCUCGGGGGGAUGUUGAGUCUCGAAGCAAUGCGGAGGAGUUCGGGAGAGCGCGGGGAGUGCGGGGUCUGCGCCCACUCAUUGCCCGCCGCACCUUGCCGCCCGCGGACCGCCAGUCAGCAACUGUGACUCGUGUUGGCUGAACCAUCAGUAGGGCCAUCUUCUUUUUCUUGCCGUAGGACACUCAAACAACAAACACAAAAUGGCGGAUGAUGAAGCGAAGAAGGCCAAACAGGCCGAAAUCGACCGCAAGCGUGCUGAGGUGCGCAAGCGUAUGGAGGAAGCCUCCAAGGCCAAGAAGGCGAAGAAAGGUUUCAUGACCCCCGAGAGAAAGAAGAAGCUUAGGUUGCUCCUGCGUAAAAAAGCCGCUGAAGAGUUAAAGAAAGAACAGGAACGCAAAGCAGCCGAGAGAAGGCGUAUCAUCGAAGAGAGGUGCGGUAAACCCAAGAACGUUGACGAUGCAAACGAAGCAAUGCUCAAGAGAAUAAUACAGGAGUAUUAUGACCGCUUGUAUGUGUGUGAGGGCCAGAAGUGGGAUUUGGAACAUGAAGUCAGGAAAAGAGAUUAUGAGAUCUCUGACCUGAACUCCCAAGUCAAUGACCUCAGAGGAAAAUUCGUCAAACCAACACUCAAGAAGGUGUCCAAAUAUGAGAACAAAUUCGCCAAGCUCCAGAAGAAGGCGGCCGAAUUCAACUUCCGUAACCAGUUGAAGGUUGUCAAAAAGAAGGAAUUCACCCUCGAAGAAGAAGACAAAGAGGCUAAGAAAGCGGAGAAAGCUGAUUGGGCUAUCGGAAAGAAGUGAUUUAGCUUCACGCAUGAAUUACUAUUACAAUAUUUCCAUCACAUCGAUCCCUGAUGAAUUAUUUACUUUAAUUAUAAAUUAUUUUUUUUAAUAAAUUAUAUAUAUCGUUUAUUUUGGCUUUAAAAUUUCCCAUAAAAUUCAAAUAUAAAGGGAAAUAAGAAAAAACCAGACUGGUCCAAGGGCAAGCCAGGAGACCAGAAGGUAAAGGAGGAGGAAGUUGAGGCAUGAAGUGUUGUUCCCACCACAUUUAUGUGACCUUUGUAACAGCUGACCAAAAAAUGCAUUUCAAGCACGAUUUUACCCCCACACAGGGUUCAAUUCUCCUUGAUAAAAUUCCUUCACCAUUCUUUAUGUAUUUUCUGACGAUACUUCGAUCAUCAAUUUUUAUAAUUAUUUAUUUAUAAAUAAUGUUUUUGUAAGUUAAUAAUAUGUUAAAUAAAAUUAAUUUCUGUAUUA